GCCGUUCGCGGUAUGCAGGGGUAGAACGCCGCAGGUGAGACCAAUUCGUCAAUCUGCAGGGAUUUUUUUUCAUGCUUUGGUUGCACAUGGAUGCAAAUCAGUUGUAUGCAAAACAUCUGUGCAUAUAUAGUUUGAGAAAUUGAGAAUGGGCAUUUAGUUCCUAUGGUCUGCUGUUGAUUAGUAUAUUCCCUCUGCAAUAUUUGUUGCUAGCGAGCUAAAGGGAUCUGUAGCUGCAGGUAAGACCAAAAUUCCUUGCUGUGCUACUGGGACUUGUACCCCCAGGAGUUUUUAUCGGGAAGAAGAACUGCAAAUGGUUGGCACGUUUGGUUGCGCAUUGAUGCAAAACAGUUCUGUGUGAACCUUCUUUACAUGUAUAGUUUGAGCAAUGUAGAGACGACAGUUAGUUGCAAUGGUCUGUUCUCAUUAGUACAUUAAUCAUGCUAUUUUUGUGUGUUCUGUUCAGGCUUAAUGUCUAUGCAUCGGUUAGAGUUCGUCCACCUGUAGCUCUUGCGAUUGCUUUGACACUGUUUAGUUAAACAAAGUUGAGAAUUAAUCUACAUCCAUGUGUAUGUCAGAAAAUUAGAAUGCUGGAGAGUGAGCUUUAAAACAAAUGGAUCUUACUGUUUAUGUGUGCGUAUGUAACUCUGUUUGGCUGAAAAUCAGUGUAUUUCAUAGUAAAUGUUAAUGUUGAAUUCACAUGGAGUUAUGUGCAUGUGCUGCUGUUUAUUUCGAAAGAUGCAUUUGUAGAUUACAUGUGCUGCUGUUACCAUGUGUUGCCAUGUAUACCAUGAUAUCCGGGUUUGCUUUGCUGACCAUGCUUUGUUCUUGUUCGAGGAUAACGAGAAGGACUAAAGGAUAGCGGUGGCCUUGUUUUUCGACUCCAUGUUGUGUUUAGGGAAGGAUUUGGCCAGCAGCAAAGCGGCAGGAUGAUCGGGACUGAGGUGUUUUCUUCGCAGGCCCUCUCUCUGCCCCGGUACAAGACCGGCAAAGAUGAGCUUACGUUGCUUCCCCGGGACACUAAGUGGCAGCUACAUGGAAGGUGGAAUGAGGACAAGUACGUUGAAGCAGUCUUGCCGGUAUGUGUUACUUGAAGAACAGAACUCUGAGAGGCUAGCCUGGUAUAUCUUGUUUCUUAUGUGGAGCAAUAGUUCCAUGCAAGUCUGUUGUGAGAGAGAGAGAGAGAGAGAGAGAGAGAGAGAGAGAGAGAGAGAGAGAUGUGCAUUGGAUGCUGAAGUUUGAUUCACUCAUUUGCAGUUUUUCGCCUCAAAAUAUCCGUACAUAAGAAAAAUGUCAGUGAUUUAUGUAAAUACGGAUAUCCCGUCCGUCUUGAAAAGGAGUCUAAAUUUAGAUGUAUCUAGACACAAUUUAAUGUAUAGAUACAUCCAAAGAGUGGCAGUGCAUCUCA